GGAAUACAACCAAAGAUUAAUUGCCAAAUUCAACGUGAUUAAACAGGAUUGUAAGCACUAUAUGCAGCAUUUUGCUGAGAUUUUUAUCUUUCAGUGAUCAUCCAAAGUAUACUGAGACUGAUUAUAGCAUCCAUCUUGAGAGGAGACUCUUCCUUUCUGGAUUUGAGGAAGCAAACAGCCACACAGGGAAGGUGCACAUCUCAAAGAACUGAAUAGUUUGACCUCUGGCCAAACUAUUAGAUUCACAUGGAUGUGGCCAAAGGAUUAACUCCGUGUUUCUAAAAGGCCUAGAGAACAUAUAGCAGACUGAAAGGAAUAGUGUGGGAAGGAGGAUGAGAACCUCACACGUGGAUGACUGUUUCCUGGGAAUUGGGAGAGAUACCCUGCUCCAUCAGAAUCACUACAAUUUGGAAAUAUUAGGUUACUACCCCAAAUCACAGAGUUGAACUUGACAGCAGUUUCUGGCUCACAGCCAACAAGGAACAGAGACCUCGGUGCUACAACAGAAAGGAACCUAAUUUUGCCAACAAUCUGAAUGAGUUUGAAUGGAAUUCACCAAUCUUCAAGUAGGAGCCCAGCCGACCUUCAGCUUGACUCUAAUCUUACGGGACCCUAAGCAGAGAACCCAAGUAAGCCAGUCUAGACUUUUGACCUACCGAACUGUGAGGAAAUAAAUGACUGCUGUUUCUGGUGAUUUUUUAUGCAGCAAUAUAAAAAAAAAGUAUGCCCCACAACCGGGUAAUUCUACUCCUAGUGAUCUAGGAGUAGAUAAAAACCUAUUUCUACACAGACUUGUACGUGAAUGUUCAUGGCAGCAUUAUUUUUAAUUGCCAAAAUUUGGAAAUAAUCCAAAUGCCCAUCAACUGGUGAAUAGAUAAAAUGUGGUGUAUACAUACAAAAGAAUACUACUCAGCAAUAAAAAGAAACAACUACUGAUACACAAAAUAAUAUAGGUGAACCUCCAUAUUAUGGGACAAAGCUUCCAAGCAUUAUGCUAAGUGAAAGAAGACAGACACAAAAUACUAAAAAUUGCAUGAAUCCAUUUACAUGCAGUUUUGAGAAAGACCAAAUUAUAAAGACGGGAAGCUGAUCAGUGGUUUUCUGAAUUUGAGGAAAGAGAAAGGAUCGAUCGCAUACAGAGACCUUGGAACAGCUGACCAGAGAGAAUGUUGCCUUGGAAGAGCAGACACAGCCCACAAAGUGCCCUCCCUCUGAGUGGAGGUAAAAGGACUAAACCAGUUGCUUUUAGGGGGUUUGGGUGAGUCCAUUUUAUUUCCUUCUGCUGACAACGCUAUCU